AGAGGAGGAGGGAGGGCAACAGCAAGUGUGAACUCUCAUUGAAAAGAGAGGGGAGAGGAGGGCAGUAUGAAGUUUUAACCCUCAUAUGGAAAGUCAAGAGGCGGUGAAGAAGAGAAGAGGUGGAGGAGGGAGGGCCAAAACAAGUGUGAAUUCUUAUUGAAAAGAGAAGAGAGGAUGCCAGAGGUCAACAGGAAGUCUGUCGGAUGCAAAUGAGAGGAGAUGAAAAGGGACAGAAAAAGCCACUGUACCUGCGAGAUAAAAUGACUGAACCAGAUUGCAGAAAGAUGAAUUCACUGGACCAAACUUCAGAAGCUGCCAGAAGUGAAACUCAUCUCACCACAAUGACUUUUGACACAAUCAAACAGUAAACAUGUGUUUCCAAUAAAAAGUCAAAACGAGAA